AUGAUGUGUCAAUCAUAUGGAGA
rnacentral:siRNA from 1 species